AUUGAACGCUGGCGGCAGGCCUAACACAUGCAAGUCGAGCGGGGUUUUCGGACCUAGCGGCGGACGGGUGAGUAAUGCGUAGGAAGCUACCCGAUAGAGGGGGAUACCAGUUGGAAACGACUGUUAAUACCGCAUAACGUCUACGGACCAAAGUGUGGGACCUUCGGGCCACAUGCUAUCGGAUGCGCCUACGUGGGAUUAGCUAGUUGGUGGGGUAAUGGCUCACCAAGGCGACGAUCCCUAGCUGGUGUGAGAGGAUGAUCAGCCACACUGGGACUGAGACACGGUCCAGACUCCUACGGGAGGCAGCAGAGGGGAAUAUUGGACAAUGGGCGCAAGCCUGAUCCAGCCAUGCCGCGUGUGUGAAGAAGGCCUUCGGGUUGUAAAGCACUUUCAGUAGGGAGGAAGAGUUGAGUGUUAAUAGUACUCAGCUUUGACGUUACCUACAGAAGAAGCACCGGCUAACUCUGUGCCAGCAGCCGCCGUAACAC
rnacentral:rRNA from 1 species